AUUGAACGCUGGCGGCAUGCCUAACACAUGCAAGUCGAACGAGUGGCGGACGGGUGAGUAAUGUCUGGGAAACUGCCUUAUGGAGGGGGAUAACUACUGGAAACGGUAGCUAAUACCGCAUACCAUCGGAUGUGCCCAGAUGGGAGUAUCUUGUAGGUGGGGUAAAGGCUCACCUAGUCGACGAUCCCUAGCUGGUCUGAGAGGAUGACCAGUCACACUGGAGCGUAGACGAGGUGCAGACUCCUACGGGAGGCAGCAUUGGGGACUAUUGCACAAUGGGCGGAAGCCUGUAGCAGCCAUGGCGCGUGUAUGAAGGAGGCCUUCGGGGUGUAAAGUACUUUCAGCUGGGGGGCGUUACCCACAGAAGAAGCACCGGCUAACUCCGUGCCAGCAGCCGCGGUAAUUC
rnacentral:rRNA from 1 species